rnacentral:tRNA from 1 species
GCCACUGUGGCUCAGUUGGUAGAGCAUGGUGUGUGCAACGCCAGCAUGGUGUGUGCAACGCCAGGGUUGUGGGUUUGAUUCCCACGGGGGGCC